UACACAGAGUGGCAACGUGUAUUAUCCAACACAUCAUCAAAAUGACGUUAACGUUGUGACACGACUCACGGUUCGUGACUCUGACGUUUCACCGUUUGUGACGUCACGCUAAGCUUUCGUCACGCCUUAUUAUUUGAUCACCGUGUCAAAGACACCUGGGAUCGGCCUUGUUUUACCUGUACAGGAGAUGAUUUAGAUUCGAUCGGCAUGCUCGGGAAAACUCGGAAGUAAUUACAUGUUUGUUUUGUGGAACACAGAUAGUCUCGGAUAUGGUCCAUUUGCAGGUUGACGAACCUUGAGAAAACGCGAAUGCAGACAGUUCUGCUGAUAUACCGCGAGACUGACCAAGUCUUUAUAUUAUGGUUGUUACGGUUUCUAAAUGAAUAAAGCUCGUCUGUCCAUAUCUGGAACUGACUGUAUGCUAAU